UGGGGAAUAUUGGACAAUGGGCGGAAGCCUGAUCCAGCAAUUCCGCGUGGGUGAAGAAGGUCUUCGGAUUGUAAAGCCCUUUCGGCGGGGACGAUGAUGACGGUACCCGCAGAAGAAGCCCCGGCUAACUUCGUGCCAGCAGCCGCGGUAAUACGAAGGGGGCUAGCGUUGCUCGGAAUUACUGGGCGUAAAGGGCGCGUAGGCGGCGGUGUUAGUCAGGCGUGAAAUUCCUGGGCUUAACCUGGGGACUGCGCUUGAUACGGCAUUGCUUGAGGGUGGAAGAGGCUCGCGGAAUUCCCAGUGUAGAGGUGAAAUUCGUAGAUAUUGGGAAGAACACCGGUGGCGAAGGCGGCGAGCUGGUCCAUUACUGACGCUGAGGCGCGACAGCGUGGGGGAGCAAAACAGGAUUAGAUACCCUGGUAGUCCACGCCGUAAACCGAUGUGCGCUGGAUGUUGGGUGGCCUAGCCACUCAGUGUCGUAGCCAACGCGGUAAGCGCACCGCCUGGGGAGUACGGCCGCAAGG
rnacentral:rRNA from 1 species